rfam:Larimichthys crocea isolate SSNF unplaced genomic scaffold scaffold638, whole genome shotgun sequence.
CAGAUCACCUCAAAUGGAGACACUGAUGACUGCCAUGUUCAUAAGUGCUUCUCUUUGGGGUUGUCUUG